UACAGAGGGGGCAAGCGUUGUUCGGAAUUACUGGGCGUAAAGGGCGCGCAGGCGGCCUUCUAAGUCAGGCGUGAAAUCCCUCGGCUCAACCGGGGAACUGCGUCUGAGACUGGAAGGCUUGAAUCCGGGAGAGGGAUGUGGAAUUCCAGGUGUAGCGGUGAAAUGCGUAGAUAUCUGGAGGAACACCGGUGGCGAAGGCGGCAUCCUGGACCGGUAUUGACGCUGAGGCGCGAAAGCCAGGGGAGCAAACGGG
rnacentral:rRNA from 1 species